GAGAGGAGGAGAGAGGAGGAGAGAGGAGGAGAGGAGGAGAGGAAGAGGAGUAAAGGAGAUCUUUUGUUCGGCAGCAUCAGCUCCUCCUCGGGGAGAUCUUCCUGGAGGGAGGAGACCAGAUCUCCCCGAGACUCACCCUCAGCACCGGGAGGACGGAGUUAGAGGAGAGGCACACCCUGGGUUAGAGGAGGAAGAGGAGGAAGAGGAGGAAGAGGAGGAAGAGGAGGAUUUCCUGAGGGAUCCACAUGUCAGGACCUCCUCCAGGUGGAGGUGUGUGCAGAGGAGCAUUGAUGGACCUCCAAUCGAUGAGUGUGUGAGUGUGAGUGUGUGUGUGUGUGUGUGUGUGUGUGUGUGUGUGUGUGUGUGUGUGUGUGAGAGUGUGUGUG